rnacentral:snRNA from 1 species
GCAUGUGAAGUCAAUCUGACUUCAACAGCUGUCACCCCACUCAUCACCAGGGUUGAUUGGGCUGCUCUGACUGGCUAGGUGGCUGUCCCCUUCCCCCCUCACUGCUCCAUGUACAUCUAGCCGGAGGCUGCCCACUCAGUGGUAGAGGCCGAGCUUCCCCAAUAGAGGAGGAUGGGUCGUUCUUCGAUCAAGGGAGUAGUUGUGCUCGCUUCCCUGCUAGACCUUCCAAACAAGCUCUCAAGAAAGCUUGCUGCAGUGCAGAGGACUCCGGUUUAGUUAGCAGCACU